UAACACGGACCAAGAAGUCUUGAAUGUGCGCGAGUCAAAGGGGCUGGCUAAACCCCAAGGCGAAACGAAAGUGAAUUUCUUUCAUAGGGCUGAUCCGUUUCGGGGUGCGAGAGCUGGGGUUAGCGGCGUCGUUCGUCGCCGUCUGGUCGAUAUCUUCCUUCGCGGGUUGAAGUUGAAGGCGGAUGCUCGGCGGCGCUGCGCCCCAUCCUCUCCCCUCGAUUUACCACCUCUAUAUGUGGACGGCGCAAGCCCGGGGCCCGCAUACCGUUCCUCUCCGUCGUUAUGGCCUGUCCGUUCGCUCUGGCGUUCUCCCCUCAAUAGCCAGCGGGUACGGGGCGGCUCUGCAGCGGAGUUUCUUCCUCUUUGUCGCGAAGCCGUUGAUGCCGCUGCUGCCGUACGCCAUCGCCGGAUCGGUACACGAGGAUCGUCUUCUUCGCGUGCCCCUUCGUCGUGGUUGCGGUAGUAGUGGUUGAAAGCGGUGGCAUAGGGGAGUCUUCGUCGUAUUCCUCCUUUUGUCCCGUUGGCGUAGAGAGUAAAGGGGGGCGUUCGCUUUGGGCGGCGGUUCCGCUGGCGUGAGAUGGACGGCGGGUACCUUGAGCGCACAUUCUAGGACCCGAAAGAUGGUGAUCUAUGCGUGGCGAGGAUGAAGCCAGGGGAAACCCUGGUGGAAGUCCGUAGCGAUUCUGACGUGCAAAUCGAUCGUCGGAGCUGCGCAUAGGGGCGAAAGACCUAUCGAACCAUCUAG
rnacentral:rRNA from 1 species